UACGGAGGAUGCAAGCGUUGUCCGGAAUGAUUGGGCGUAAAGCGUCCGCAGGUGGCACUACAAGUCUGCUGUCAAAGACUGGGGCUCAACCUCAGAAAGGCGGUGGAGACUGUAGAGCUAGAGAACGGUAGGGGCGGAGGGAAUUCCCAGUGUAGCGGUGAAAUGCGUAGAGAUUGGGAAGAACACCAGUGGCGAAAGCGCUCUGCUAGGCAGGGUCUGACACUCAGGGACGAAAGCUAGGGGAGCAAAUGGG
rnacentral:rRNA from 1 species